rnacentral:lncRNA from 1 species
UUGGUUAGAUUUCAAAAACUAGCCGUUACUUGCUGUUGGGAGGACAAAAAGUACUUCUGCAGAACUAGCCGUUAUGCUUCUGCCCGUGCUGGGGUCGACCCAAACUUUCCUGGGGUCGACUCAAACCACUGUUCAUCAGACUUGGGGUCGACUCAACUUUCACUGGGGUCGACCCAACUUUCACUGGGGUCGCACUCAUGCUAUAUUGGGGUCGGCCCUCUCAGAAAAUACAGAACCUUACAUUUCAGCCGUUUUUCACUUGGGUCGACUUAACUCUUUUUGGUCUCGACUCAAGGUUCAGUUGGGUCGACUCAAGUUCCAUUGGGGUCAACCCUCUCAGGGAUUCCAGAGAACCAGUUUUUGAAUGACACAGCCUUUGGGUCGACUCAUGUUCAGUUUGGGUCGACUCAAGGUGGGGUCGACUCAAGUUCCAUUGGGGUCGACCCUCUCAGGGAUUCUAGAGACUUGUUUUCUUGAGGCUUGAAGAUGGGGUCGACUCAACUUUUACUUGGGUCGACCCAUGUACUGUUCAUCCAUGCCAUUUUUGCAGAAGUGUGCCAAAUAGUUCCUUGAUAUGCCGGAGUCGACUCCACCAAUCUUGGGGUCGUUUCAUUCCACACUUUGCUGCAACUUAGGGUUAGAUUCAUCCAUAUAAUCAAUGAAAUAUACUUCAAGCAAUUUUGAAUAUAUGUCAUGGUAGUGCUACAUACUCUUAACAAUGAAAAUUACUAUCAUCUCCUUGAGAGUACGUUUUACUUGAAACUUUGCCGAAUUAGAAUUUAGAAUUCACUAUCCCUUUUUUUUAAUCGCAAAUUUUAUCUUAUUAUGAAUCAAUGAAAUACAUCUUGAUCUCAUUCUACUAAUGUACCGAGAGUGACGAACUUAGUAAUGAUG